UGGGGAAUCUUGCACAAUGGGGGAAACCCUGAUGCAGCGACGCCGCGUGAGCGAUGAAGGUUUUCGAAUCGUAAAGCUCUGUCCUAUGGGAAGAUAAUGACGGUACCAUGGGAGGAAGCCCCGGCUAACUACGUGCCAGCAGCCGCGGUAAUACGUAGGGGGCGAGCGUUGUCCGGAAUUACUGGGCGUAAAGGGUUCGCAGGCGGCAUGGCAAGUCCGAUGUAAAAGGCGAAGGCUCAACCUUCGUAAGCAUCGGAAACUGUCAAGCUUGAGUGAAGGAGAGGCAAGUGGAAUUCCUAGUGUAGCGGUGGAAUGCGUAGAUAUUAGGAGGAAUACCGGUGGCGAAGGCGACUUGCUGGACUUCAACUGACGCUGAGGAACGAAAGCGUGGGUAGCAAACAGG
rnacentral:rRNA from 2 species